AGUCGUAACAAGGUUUCCGUAGGUGAACCUGCGGAAGGAUCAUUGUCGUGACCCUGACCAAAACAGACCGCGCACGCGUUAUCUAACUUGCCGGUGGCGGCACUGUCCGUCGCUUGGCCAAAGUCCUCGAUAACCUUCUCUUCUCGGAGAGGGGGCCUCGGGGUAAAAGAACCCACGGCGCCGAAGGCGUCAAGGAACACUGUGCCUAACUCGGGGAUGCGGCUGGCUUGCUAGCCGCCCCUCGUGUUGCAAUGCUAUUUAAUCCACAUGACUCUCGGCAACGGAUAUCUCGGCUCUC
rnacentral:misc_RNA from 1 species